CUUUAAGGUAAAACUAAUUCCUUCCUCUGUGAUACACAUAACCACAUACGGAUUAUUAAAACUUCGUGCUUAGGUCUCCUAGUCUGCAAACAAGACUGAUUAUUGAGCUAAUUCAUGUAAAAGUACUCAGGAUAGUCUCUAAUGCAUACAGUACUUAAAGUAAGAUGCUACUGAUAGGCACACCAUUAUUGAUACUAGUCACAAAGAAAAAUACUUAUAAUUGUAAGACAUCUUGUUUUUCAAAAUGUUAAACUGAAGAUGGGUAUCAGAAUAGAUAAGAAGCACUCAAUAAAUGUUUACCAUUACCAAGAGAAGUGUAAUUGAGACUUCCUCCAUCUGCUUGUAACCACAUACAAGACUAGGUCCUGUCCAAGGGGAGCAGGACAGAACUUCUAAAACUUCCUCUCUCGAGUCAUUUCCUGGGUGCUGUCUUUUCUGACUGGUGCUGGCAAAGCCAGGAUUCAUGAGGCUCCACACAGGUAAAGUGUUUCACGAAGCCCAACAAAACAAAUGAAAAUUAAUCUUAAAAGAAUGUUACUCUUAUUCAACUCUUAGACGAUGCUAAAAGGAAUCGAACUUACAAUCUCCCAAACAAGUUUUUUAGCCUUUUUCCUUUUGAGUCUUUAAUCCCUGGAUACUCCCCUGAAGGCUUUCAAAACUUCAACAUGCUCCUUCCCUUUCUCCCUCAGACUCUGGCUCCCACAUCUGUAAUGACAAGAAUGGUCAAGCUCUCUCCUGCUUCACAGGCAUAAGCUAUUAUGGAAAGUUCAUCAAAUCUUGACCAGGGUCCAGGUGAAGACCCACAGCAGCUAAGAAAACUACCUCUGCAAGAGUGUGAUAGCCAACCUGACUCCAUCUUGUCCCUCAACGCCAUUUUGUACCUGUGCUUGAAGUGCUUGCGUUUGAACAUAGCACCCAAACCCCCUGCAUCCUGUUUGGCAGUAAACUUGCCGCAGUUGCAAUAUGUUUUGUAGCUCACCUAGUGUGUGAAACUUCCUUUUGCCCCCCACUAACCUGGCAUGGUUCUGCUUCUGUAAGAUUCUGCUUGCUCUCCCCUGAGCCCUCCCUAACUGAAAGCAUGAUUUAAAAGGAGAAAUCAAACUGCUUUCCAUUGCCAAGAGACCUUUCUGGGUGCUAGCCCCCUUCGGCCGCUGGCUAAAAUAAAUG
ensembl:lncRNA